rnacentral:rRNA from 3 species
GUCAGCUCGUGUCGUGAGAUGUUGGGUUAAGUCCCCGCAACGAGCGCAACCCUUAUGACUAGUUGCCAGCAUUUAGUUGGGCACUCUAGUAAGACUGCCGGUGACAAACCGGAGGAAGGUGGGGAUGACGUCAAAUCAUCAUGCCCCUUAUGACCUGGGCUACACACGUGCUACAAUGGAUGGUACAACGAGUUGCGAGACCGCGAGGUCAAGCUAAUCUCUUAAAGCCAUUCUCAGUUCGGACUGUAGGCUGCAACUCGCCUACACGAAGUCGGAAUCGCUAGUAAUCGCGGAUCAGCACGCCGCGGUGAAUACGUUCCCGGGCCUUGUACACACCGCCCGUCACACCAUGAGAGUUUGUAACACCCGAAGCCGGUGGCGUAACCCUUUUAGGGAGCGAGCCGUCU